rnacentral:tRNA from 1 species
CAGACCAUGAGGUGAUUCACGUUGGAUUGCAAUCACAAAAACAUUGGCACUGGAGCCGGGGCU